GAUGAACGCUGGCGGCGCGCCUAACACAUGCAAGUCGAACGGCACCCCUCCUCGGAGGGAAGCGAGUGGCGAACGGCUGAGUAACACGUGGAGAACCUGCCCCCUCCCCCGGGAUAGCCGCCCGAAAGGACGGGUAAUACCGGAUACCCCGGGGUGCCGCAUGGCACCCCGGCUAAAGCCCCGACGGGAGGGGAUGGCUCCGCGGCCCAUCAGGUAGACGGCGGGGUGACGGCCCACCGUGCCGACAACGGGUAGCCGGGUUGAGAGACCGACCGGCCAGAUUGGGACUGAGACACGGCCCAGUCUCCUACGGGAGGCAGCAGUGGGGAAUCUUGCGCAAUGGGGGGAACCCUGACGCAGCGACGCCGCGUGCGGGACGGAGGCCUUCGGGUCGUAAACCGCUUUCAGCAGGGAAGAGUCAAGACUGUACCUGCAGAAGAAGCCCCGGCUAACUACGUG
rnacentral:rRNA from 1 species